UACGUAGGGGGCAAGCGUUACUCGGAUUCACUGGGCGUAAAGCGCGUGUGAGGCGGCUGGUCAAGCGUGGUGUGAAAUCUCCGGGCUCAACCCGGAAACUGCACCGCGAACUGGCCUGGCUGGAGUGCAGGAGAGGGAAGGGGAAUUCCCGGUGUAGCGGGUGAAAUGCGUAGAUAGUCGGGAGGAACACCAGUGGCGAAGGCGGCUAUCUGGACAGUGACUGACGCUGAGACGCGAAAGCGUGGGAGCAAACA
rnacentral:rRNA from 1 species